AGUUGUACGGGCAGAGGAAGAUGCCGAGACCGUCUAUGCAAGCAUUGAUUUGGUAUCCUCCAUCAUACAGAGGAAGUUGAGAAAGAUUAAAGAGAAAGAUUCAGACCAUGGCCGACACAUGAAAGGAUUUGACAGAUUGAAAGUAAGAGAACCUGCACCAAUAGUAGUUGGAGAUGAGGAUGAGGAAGUUUUUCAAGAAGAUGGUGGAGAAGUUAUUGAUGAGAUUGUUCGGACAAAAUACUUCGAUAUGCCACCUUUGACA
rnacentral:misc_RNA from 1 species